UCCUGGAUUCAGCGGCGGACGGGUGAGUAAUGCCUAGGAAUCUGCCUGGUAGUGGGGGACAACGUUUCGAAAGGAACGCUAAUACCGCAUACGUCCUACGGGAGAAAGCAGGGGACCUUCGGGCCUUGCGCUAUCAGAUGAGCCUAGGUCGGAUUAGCUAGUUGGUGAGGUAAUGGCUCACCAAGGCGACGAUCCGUAACUGGUCUGAGAGGAUGAUCAGUCACACUGGAACUGAGACACGGUCCAGACUCCUACGGGAGGCAGCAGUGGGGAAUAUUGGACAAUGGGCGAAAGCCUGAUCCAGCCAUGCCGCGUGUGUGAAGAAGGUCUUCGGAUUGUAAAGCACUUUAAGUUGGGAGGAAGGGCAGUAAAUUAAUACUUUGCUGUUUUGACGUUACCGACAGAAUAAGCACCGGCUAACUCUGUGCCAGCAGCCGCGGUAAUACAGAGGGUGCAAGCGUUAAUCGGAAUUACUGGGCGUAAAGCGCGCGUAGGUGGUUUGUUAAGUUGGAUGUGAAAUCCCCGGGCUCAACCUGGGAACUGCAUCCAAAACUGGCAAGCUAGAGUAUGGUAGAGGGUGGUGGAAUUUCCUGUGUAGCGGUGAAAUGCGUAGAUAUAGGAAGGAACACCAGUGGCGAAGGCGACCACCU
rnacentral:rRNA from 1 species